AGCCUGGGGCAUAUUCUUACCCUGGACCUUUUCUUCUUCUGGUAGGGUUAAUCAUAUGGUGGAGCAGAGUUCCGGGGAAGGCACGGAAGGAGGACAGCUGGAAAUGAGCAGCAACUGACUGCUCUGGGAUACGUUCCAUAAGACUCCUCAGAAGAUUCUGAGGGAUUAAGCACCAACUGACGACAGCGGUGGCCAAUUCAAGAAUUCAUCCUUGUGUUGGGGUUUACUUCCUUCGCCUUCACUCGCCCCGCCUCUCACAACUGCCCCCUGAGAUACAUGUUCAAGCAAACACACAGUUUUCUCUCCUGACAGAAGAGAAGUUCUUACAGAAUUGGCCACAACAUCAGUAUCUUCACAAAGCCGUCUUUUCAAAGUGGUAAAUGCUUCUAGGAUGAGGUUGCUCUUGCAACCACGCAGAAAUAACGUGUUGGCUACACAUAAUUUUGGUUUAUCGCCAUUGAGCAUAAUCAUCAUAAUAAACGCAGUCAUCAUCUGGAUUUAGCAGCCUCGUUUGUAUGAAGACAAGUGUGGACCUGCAUUCAGAACAUCCCCUGGUUCAAAGCCCAGCGCUGCUAUGAACAACAAUUGGGCCCUGGAACGAGUUUCCUUAACCCUCGGAGUCUCGGUGUUCUCAUCUGCAAAAUAGGAUUAAAAUAUCUACCCCACCUCACAAAAUUUUUGUGGGGAUUCAGUGAAAGGAGAUAUUGCAAAUGGUGGCAAAUGGACUUCGCUUGGGAGCGAAGAAGAAGGGACUUCUUGUCACAGGGCUCAUCCUCAGCUGUGUUCAAAAAAACGUUCCGUGAGAAGCUAUGACUUAUGUGUUAAGGAAAGAAUGUACUCUGUCUCAGGUGUAAUUCAUCUUGUAUCUAAAAAUGCAUGAUUCUAUGAAAUACAGCAUACUUAUUUCUCUCUCUCUCAUUUGUCCUUUGAGGAAAGUCUACCCAUUUCUUCUGAAGUAGCACUACUAUAUAAAGGAAACGCAUCUUUCUUGCCUUGUAAACAAUUUUUCCCAUUAUUUUGUUCCUCUUUCCCAAACAGGACUUUUUUCGUGGGAAUGAAGAUAGAAGAAAAAGAGUUUAAUGAAAAGACAAACAUGGAUACAAAUUUAUGAUCAUACUCACCUUCUUUUUUUUAAAAAAAAAAAAAAAGGAAAAAUAAUGAAGUUAAAGCAAAUUGGAUCACAAAGAAAA